AGAAAGCUGCCCAGUCAUCCAACAUAGGAAAUGGUCCAGAAGAAAAUGAAAUAAUUCAAGUUUGGGCUGAAAAAUGUCCGCAUCCAGAGCUGAGGGAUUUUUGUCAUCUAGUCUCCAGAUCCAAGCCUGAAGCACAGCAAUCUCAAACAGUUUGGGCUGAAAAAUGUCCACACCCAGAGCAGAGGGAUUAUUCUCAUCGAAUUUCCAAACCCAAGUAUGAAACACAGCGAUCUCAAGCAG